AGUGAACGCUGGCGGUAGGCCUAACACAUGCAAGUCGAACGGCAGCACAGUAAGAGCUUGCUCUUACGGGUGGCGAGUGUCGGACGGGUGAGGAAUACAUCGGAAUCUACUUUUUCGUGGGGGAUAAUGUAGGGAAACUUACGCUAAUACCGCAUACGACCUUCGGGUGAAAGCAGGGGAUCUUCGGACCUUGCGCGAUUGAAUGAGCCGAUGUCGGAUUAGCUAGUUGGCGGGGUAAAGGCCCACCAAGGCGACGAUCCGUAGCUGGUCUGAGAGGAUGAUCAGCCACACUGGAACUGAGACACGGUCCAGACUCCUACGGGAGGCAGCAGUGGGGAAUAUUGGACAAUGGGCGCAAGCCUGAUCCAGCCAUACCGCGUGGGUGAAGAAGGCCUUCGGGUUGUAAAGCCCUUUUGUUGGGAAAGAAAAGCAGCAGGUUAAUACCCCGCUGUUCUGACGGUACCCAAAGAAUAAGCACCGGCUAACUUCGUG
rnacentral:rRNA from 1 species